rnacentral:tRNA from 1 species
ANNAGCUCAGUUGGUUAGAGCACCUGACUCAUAAUCAGGGAGUCACUGGUUCAAGCCCAGUUGGGCCCA